UGGGGAAUAUUGCGCAAUGGGGGAAACCCUGACGCAGCAACGCCGCGUGAAGGAUGAAGGCUCUCGGGUUGUAAACUUCUUUGAUUGGGGAAGAAAAAAAUGACGGUACCCAAAAAACAAGCCACGGCUAACUACGUGCCAGCAGCCGCGGUAAUACGUAGGUGGCAAGCGUUAUCCGGAAUUACUGGGUGUAAAGGGCGUGUAGGCGGGAUGUUAAGUCAGAUGUGAAAUUCCGAAGCUCAACUUCGGCGCUGCAUCUGAAACUAAUGUUCUUGAGUGAUGGAGAGGAAAGCGGAAUUCCUAGUGUAGCGGUGAAAUGCGUAGAUAUUAGGAGGAACACCAGUGGCGAAGGCGGCUUUCUGGACAUUAACUGACGCUGAGGCGCGAAAGCGUGGGGAGCAAACA
rnacentral:rRNA from 1 species